rnacentral:rRNA from 1 species
GAAUCCCGUCUUUGGCACGGAAACCCCAGGGCUUUUGUGAUGCGCUCUCGAAGAGUCGAGUUGUUUGGGAAUGCAGCUCAAAAUGGGUGGUGAACUCCAUCUAAAGCUAAAUAUUGGCGAGAGACCGGUAGCGAACAAGUACCGUGAGGGAAAGAUGAAAAGCACUUUGGAAAGAGAGUGAAACAGUACGUGAAAUUGUUGAAAGGGAAACGCUUGAAGUCAGUCGCGUCGGCCGAGACUCAGCCUUGCCUCGGCUUGGUGUACUUCUUGACCGACGGGUCAGCAUCAAUUUUGCCCCUUGGAUAAUGGCGAGGGAAAUGUGGCACCUUUAUAGGUGUGUUAUAGUCUCUCGUCGCAUGCAAGGGUCGGGAUUGAGGAACUCAGCACGCACCUUUGGGUGUCGGGGCUUUGCCCACGAUACGUGCUUAGGAUGUUGGCGUAAUGGCUUUAAACGACCCGUCUUGAAACACGGACCAAGGAGUCUAACAUGCCUGCGAGUGUUCGGGUGGAAAACUCGUGCGCGCAAUGAAAGUGAAAGUUGGGACCUCUGUCGUGGAGGGCACCGACGCCCGGACCAGACCUUCUGUGACGGCUCUGCGGUAAAGCAUGUGUGUUGGGACCCGAAAGAUGGUGAACUAUGCCUGAAUAGGGUGAAGCCAGAGGAAACUCUGGUGGAGGCUCGUAGCGAUUCUGACGUGCAAAUCGAUCGUCAAAUUUGGGUAUAGGGGCGAAAGACUAAUCGAACCAUCUAGUAGCUGGUUCCUGCC